UCCUACGGGAGGCAGCAGUGAGGAAUAUUGCACAAUGGAGGAAACUCUGAUGCAGCCAUGCCGCGUGUAUGAUGAAGGCCCUAGGGUUGUAAAGUACUUUUAGUAGGGAAGAUAAUGACGGUACCUACAGAAAAAGCCCCGGCUAACUUCGUGCCAGCAGCCGCGGUAAUACGAAGGGGGCGAGCGUUAUUCGGAAUCACUGGGCGUAAAGCGCGCGUAGGCGGACUGGAAAGUCAGGGGUGAAAUCCCGAGGCUCAACCUCGGAACUGCCCUUGAAACUAUCAGUCUAGAAUCUGUUAGAGGGUGGUGGAAUUCCUAGUGUAGAAGUGAAAUUCGUAGAUAUUAGGAGGAACACCAGUGGCGAAGGCGACCACCUGGGACAGUAUUGACGCUAAGGUGCGAAAGCGUGGGGAGCAAACGGGAUUAGAUACCCCGGUAGUCCACGCCGUAAACGAUGUGUGUUAAGUGUCGGCUCUUCAAAGUUGAUUUUUAGGUCAAUUUUGACGAGUCGGUGCUACGGCUAACGCGUUAAACACACCGCCUGGGGAGUACGGCCGCAAGGCUAAAACUCAAAUGAAUUGACGG
rnacentral:rRNA from 1 species